rnacentral:rRNA from 1 species
AAAUUGAAGAGUUUGAUCAUGGCUCAGAUUGAACGCUGGCGGCAGGCCUAACACAUGCAAGUCGAGCGGCAGCGGGAAAGUAGCUUGCUACUUUUGCCGGCGAGCGGCGGACGGGUGAGUAAUGCCUGGGAAAUUGCCCAGUCGAGGGGGAUAACAGUUGGAAACGACUGCUAAUACCGCAUACGCCCUACGGGGGAAAGCAGGGGACCUUCGGGCCUUGCGCGAUUGGAUAUGCCCAGGUGGGAUUAGCUAGUUGGUGAGGUAAUGGCUCACCAAGGCGACGAUCCCUAGCUGGUCUGAGAGGAUGAU